rnacentral:rRNA from 1 species
AGAGUUUGAUCCUGGCUCAGAUUGAACGCUGGCGGCAGGCCUAACACAUGCAAGUCGAACGGUAACAGGAAGCAGCUUGCUGCUUUGCUGACGAGUGGCGGACGGGUGAGUAAUGUCUGGGAAACUGCCCGAUGGAGGGGGAUAACUACUGGAAACGGUAGCUAAUACCGCAUAACGUCGCAAGACCAAAGAGGGGGACCUUCGGGCCUCUUGCCAUCGGAUGUGCCCAGAUGGGAUUAGCUAGUUGGUGAGGUAACGGCUUACCAAGGCGACGAUCCGUAGCGGGUCUGGGAGGAUGAUCCGCCACACUGGGACUGAGACACGGCCCAGACUCCUACGGGAGGCAGCAGUGGGGAAUUUUGGACAAUGGGGGCAACCCUGAUCCAGCCAUGCCGCGUGAGUGAAGAAGGCCUUCGGGUUGUAAAGCUCUUUCAGACGGAAAGAAAUCGGGUGGGUGAAUAUCCUGCCUGGAUGACGGUACUGUCAGAAGAAGCACCGGCUAACUACGUGCCAGCAGCCGCGGUAAUA